AAAAUCUGAAAGCACUGGUGCGUUAUUGGCGCGUACCGCUACCGCUACCGCUGCCGCCAUUACCAACACCUUCACCAGCAGUGUAAGAUUAAUUUUGAUCAGAUGUUUCCCGCGACCGCUCCCCGAUUUGCUCAGACUUAUUUAGCAUAAGUUUACGUAUGCCGCGUCAGCGCGGCGCGCAACUGUCUUCCAUUACCUUUAUCGGUGGGCGGACUUGGACGCCAAGACGAAAAAACUGUGCUUACAAGGCUUAGUUUCAUCUAAUACUUAUGCUCUACAGAACUGCUUGAUACAUACAGUCACAACAUCACGUAGGGCUACAAAUUGAUGGCGAUGGCAACAACCUCGUAGUGAAAAAGGUAAUGCUGGUAACAAAAAUCAAGCCUGCAAUUUAUCAGCGUUACUGCUAAGAAACAUAUUCAUCCACAAUUAGUGGCAUCAUUGAAUCGAAUGAGGUAAAUGAUAAAUUCGGACUUCAACUAGGUAUAACGAGUACACAUGCUGCGUUGGAAAAUGGAGGAGUUACAGAUACCUUUUCUUAUUAUUAUUAUGAGUACGGUUAAUCUUGUCCUUCGUGCGUUCCUUACAUAUAUCGAAGGAAGCUCAGUCUGAAGGCUCGUUGAAGAUAGAUAUCCGUUGAAAAGCUCUUCUACUAUGUCGAGUUGUUACGCCACAGAACGAUAAUCUCUCGAUCCAUGUGCUUGUAUAGAAUUAGGUUGCCACUCUGUCUAGCCACAUAACCUACUUAACUGCUCUGAAUUAAUUGUACUAUUCCUGCUCUAACGAAAAGUUACAGGUUGAAAAUCAUCGUUGGCAAAAUAAGUCCACAAAGGCAAAGGUAUAAACCGCACUGGGUUACCACAGGAUUCUUGUUUCAUGUUAAAUGCUAUUGAAAAGAUCAUUGUACAUAACUGAUAUAGGUUGGCUUCCAACAAAAGCUAACUAGGGGUAAAGUCGAUUAACUGUACCUUAAAAGUUUCAGAACGGAACUAUUAUUAUAUUAUGGUUAUUUGUAAUGUAUUUUCAACUUAAACUUCGGUUGAUGAUUUGUAUCAGUCAAGCCUACCGUUUUGUUUAGUGAAACGCUCCUGAAUUGUACGCGAUUCGUAGUAGGUGUAAUGUGGUACCCGAUCUGACUCCGAUCUAAAGGUGCAACGCAUUUCCAAUGUGCUGCAGCUGAAAUCGGACCACGUCUACAAAGGCUCAGCUUAUUUGUACCGGGGCACGUCAACACGAUCUAGAUAUUAUCGAUAAUAUGUUAUCCUUCGAGGAACCUACGCCGUGUGAUUUACCUGUUUCCAGAAGAUAAUUAUGUAAAUAUUCAUCGAUAAAUUCAUCCCUACCUAGUGAAGCUUUUUCUACUUCAAUGCACCGCAACUGAUUAUGCUCAUCGAGUCAAGUUCUGUUGACAACUGCUAUUUAAGCAAUAUAAGCUUACGGCGGAUUGCAGAUUUUAGCGGCGGGCAGGCCACAUUAAAAUGCAGCAGAAGGUCCUGUGCUUUAUAGAACGCAAGAUAAACAUGGCCCGAGCACUUAAGCUAAAUGUUAGCUUGUUUAUCCUUGCCCGAACACCAACCGCCGCAUAAAUUUCCCAGAGGACAUUUACGACGACGAGUCGACGGCUGCGAUGCUCCGGGAUGAGGCGCCGUAACGCUUGAACGGGAUGCAGUGGCGACUUUGGCCUGCUCGUUCGCCAGAAACAGUCUUAAUAAGUCGAGGCCUUGAGAAUGCUCAACCCAUCAGCCGACCUAUUCGAGUUAGGCAAGCCCUUCGGACAGAAAAUAUUGACUGAAUAAAUGGCCGAACUUUUGCCUCGAAUUGUACCGCCAAUCAACAUUGCUUUAGACGGCUGGAUACUUCCAAUCAUGUGUUUUGUUCGUUUUCGAACCUACAUCGCCUUAUCGGGUUCAGUAGGGAAACACGUUACCACUGUACCACCACGGAGUAAAGAGCACGAUUUUAUCGAUCUGUAGUCGUGUUGGACCGCCUAGGGAAAUAAGCAGAUCAUUGGCUAGCUAAAGCUCAGUUUUGAUCAGGUAAGCCACGCAUUGCGACGAGAGCUCGCAUCAAGAUAGCGAGCCCGCUCUGGCAAGCACUCGUUUUGCGCCCCCACAGAAGCCACGAUCAUAACUGGAAUGAUUAGCAAGACGGAAGCGGAAAGAGACGCGUUGCGAUACAGGACACGGAAAGCUGUAGGAUGGAAAUAUGCCACACAAUGACCGGAUCGGAAACUCUAUAAACGAAAUGGAAAAUAUGACUUGGUAGAGAUUAACUGCAAUAUCGACACGGGGCGGUUUAGGUUCGAAACCGGGUGUAAACACGCUUCGUUCUAUGCUCGUAGAGGCCAGCCGUCUAAAGCAGUGAUUAACGGCAACACUGCCUGUAAAAACUCGAAGCAUCUAUAGAAAAUUAUUCUGUAGAAAAUUAUUAUUAAAAGGUUAUGUAGGGCUGGGGCAUAUGGCUGUGAAAAACUGAUUUGUGCCAGGCAACAUGCAGAAUUAAAGACUUUAGAGCUAGAGACUAGCCAUAUGUGUUUACAUUCAGGAACAGUUUAUUGAUCCCCGCUACCAUGCUAGUACCGUUAGAGACAGCUGGUUUAUAAUGGUGUUCAGCAUCUAAUCCAGUUGCCUGUCUGCGCUAACGACGAAAAACGAGGCAAAAAAUAAACCUAAUAUCGAUAUUCGUGUAGAAUGCUCACUGCGUCGUUCGAUAGCGGUAGAGGAAUUGCAUCAGCGACCAAGCAAGCGCUAUAGUUAUAAUGCGUGUAAUGUAAUAAUGAAAAAUCGCGCUAUACCAGUGAUAUUAGCGUUUAAAAUAUUAAGUUCAACGCGUUCCCGUUGCCCUGAACCAAUUGCUUCAUCCCUUUCUCUCG